UUUCUUCGGAUUGAUUCUUAACUGACUGAGCGGCGGACGGGUGAGUAACGCGUGGGUGACCUGCCCCAUACCGGGGGAUAACAGCUGGAAACGGCUGCUAAUACCGCAUAAGCGCACAGAGCUGCAUGGCUCGGUGUGAGAAACUCCGGUGGUAUGGGAUGGGCCCGCGUCUGAUUAGGCAGUUGGCGGGGUAACGGCCCACCAAACCGACGAUCAGUAGCCGGCCUGAGAGGGCGACCGGCCACAUUGGGACUGAGACACGGCCCAAACUCCUACGGGAGGCAGCAGUGGGGAAUAUUGCACAAUGGGGGAAACCCUGAUGCAGCGACGCCGCGUGAGCGAAGAAGUAUUUCGGUAUGUAAAGCUCUAUCAGCAGGGAAGAUAAUGACGGUACCUGACUAAGAAGCUCCGGCUAAAUACGUGCCAGCAGCCGCGGUAAUACGUAUGGAGCAAGCGUUAUCCGGAUUUACUGGGUGUAAAGGGUGCGUAGGUGGCAGUGCAAGUCAGAUGUGAAAGGCCGGGGCUCAACCCCGGAGCUGCAUUUGAAACUGCGCGGCUAGAGUACAGGAGAGGCAGGCGGAAUUCCUAGUGUAGCGGUGAAAUGCGUAGAUAUUAGGAGGAACACCAGUGGCGAAGGCGGCCUGCUGGACUGUUAC
rnacentral:rRNA from 1 species